UCGAUUGUACGAGUCCAUGAAUCGUGUGGUGUGCUCUCUGAAUUAUUAACAAUUCAGAACAAGUAGCAUUUGUCAUCUGUAUCCUUAUCUGUGGCUGGCAAUUAUAGUUAGCUUGUGUCACUUGUCUGCAUGCACGUCCACAGUCGCUAUGAAGAUAAUGUGCCAUGUGUCUUGUGUUUUAGGUGUGAUGAUGCUACAGUUAUUCGUAAAAGGAUUGUGCUAUUCCUUUGAAAUUGCUGGAAUGUGCUUCUGGUUCUCUACACAGAAGAAACCAUUCCACAGGGCGGAGGAAGCCUGCAAAUAUAGGAAUGGAAAGUUGGUCCAGCUUGACGACCAGGAGGUGUUCGAGAUGAUCACGGAAAGGUUCUCAUGACCAAGCAUCAAUUCUGGGUUGGUCUGACCUUAGAUAGGGUGGGAAGACAGGCUUUCAGAUGGGGCAACAACGCUACGACCAACAAAACAAACUGGCUACCCAAAGAGCCGAAUUAAACUGGUGGCUGUGUGCGCCUGUGUCGAAUAUAUGGAGAAAGGCAAUUCGAAAGACAUGGUUUGGCCGAUCAAUCAUGUGGAACAAAAUACCAUUUCAUUUGCCAGAAACGGUAUGAAUUUGGUAAGCAGGACAUUUACAGCAUUCCUCGUCAUCUUGAACAGCAUCUGUGUCGUGACAGUCGACAAACUGUGACUGGUUUGGCAGUGAUCACAUUUGAUUUGAGAUAAUAAUCAUGAUGUUUAAUCACUGGAUUGUCUGGUCCAGUCAUUGACCGGCAUCAUAUAGCUGGACUAUUGCUGAGUGUAGCGUUAAACAACAAACAAGUCAAUAACCCAGGACUUAGAAAACAUGUUCUUCUGGAAUCACUUGAAAGACGUCGUAUAUGCAUACAUUCGGCGUGCGUGUGUAUUCUAAAAAUGUGUAUACAUGUCAAUGGCUAUAAGCUGUCCAGUACAUCGUCAUAAACGACAUUCAACACGG